rnacentral:rRNA from 1 species
AUUGAACGCUGGCGGCAGGCCUAACACAUGCAAGUCGAGCGGAUGAAGGGAGCUUGCUCCUGGAUUCAGCGGCGGACGGGUGAGGAAUGCCUAGGAAUCUGCCUGGCAGUGGGGGAUAACGUCCGGAGACGGGCGCUAAUAACGCAUACGUCCUGAGGGAGAAAGUGGGGGAUCUUCGGACAUUACGCUCUCAGAUGCGCCUAGGUCGGAUUAGCUAGUUGGUGGGGUAAAGGCCUACCAAGGCGACGAUCCGUAACUGGUCUGAGAGGAUGAUCAGUCACACUGGAACUGAGACACGGUCCAGACUCCUACGGGAGGCAGCAGUGGGGAAUAUUGGACAAUGGGCGAAAGCCUGAUCCAGCCAUGCCGCGUGUGUGAAGAAGGUCUUCGGAUUGUAAAGCACUUUAAGUUGGGAGGAAGGGCAGUAAGUUAAUACCUUGCUGUUUUGACGGUACCAACAGAAUAAGCACCGGCUAACUUCGUG